rnacentral:rRNA from 1 species
GACGAACGCUGGCGGCGUGCUUAACACAUGCAAGUCGAACGAUGAACUUGGAGCUUGCUCUGGGGGAUUAGUGGCGAACGGGUGAGUAACACGUGAGUAACCUGCCCUGGACUCUGGGAUAACUUCGAGAAAUCGGAGCGAAUACCGGAUAGGACCUUGCACCGCAUGGUGUGGGGUGGAAAGUUUUUCGGUUUGGGAUGGGCUCGCGGCCUAUCAGCUUGUUGGUGAGGUAAUGGCUCACCAAGGCGUCGACGGGUAGCCGGCCUGAGAGGGUGACCGGCCACACUGGGACUGAGACACGGCCCAGGCUCCUACGGGAGGCAGCAGUGGGGAAUAUUGCACAAUGGGCGAAAGCCUGAUGCAGCAACGCCGCGUGCGGGAUGACGGCCUUCGGGUUGUAAACCGCUUUUAGUAGGGAAGAAGCCUUCGGGUGACGGUACCUGCAGAAAAAGGACCGGCUAACUACGUGCCAGCCGCCGCCGUAAAAC